CCUACGGGAGUCAGCAGUGGGGAAUAUUGGACAAUGGGCGAAAGCCUGAUCCAGCAAUUCCGCGUGUGUGAAGAAGGCCUUCGGGUUGUAAAGCACUUUAGUGGGGGAAGAAACAGCUUGGCCACACCAAGCCUUGACGGUACCCCAAGAAUAAGCACCGGCUAACUCUGUGCCAGCAGCCGCGGUAAUACAGAGGGUGCAAGCGUUAAUCGGGAUUUACUGGGCGUAAAGGGUGCGUAGGUGGCUAUUUAAGUCGGAUGUGAAAGCCCGGGGCUCAACCUCGGAAUUGCAUUCGAUACUGAGUGGCUAGAGUUCGGUAGAGGGCGGCGGAAUUUCCGGUGUAGCGGUGAAAUGCGUAGAUAUCGGAAGGAACAUCAAUGGCGAAGGCAGCCGCCUGGGCCUGGACUGACACUGAGGCACGAAAGCGUGGGUAGCAAACAGGAUUAGAUACCCUGGUAGUCCACGCCGUAAACGAUGAGAACUUGACGUUGGUUCGUUUUACGAAUCGGUGUCGCAGCUAACGCGAUAAGUUCUCCGCCUGGGGAUACGGCCGCAAGGUUGAAACUCAAAUGAAUUGAGCGNGAGAGNGCGAGCGACACGAGGAGAG
rnacentral:rRNA from 1 species